rnacentral:rRNA from 1 species
CUACCAGGGUUUCUAAUCCUGUUUGCUCCCCACGCUUUCGAGUCUUAGCGUCAGUAACCGUCCAGAUAGCCGCCUUCGCCACUGGUGUUCUUCCCAAUCUCUACGUAUUUCACCACUACACUGGGAAUUCCACUAUCCUCUCCGGUCCUCUAGCCACCCAGUACCAAGUGCAUUUCUUGAGUUGAGCUCAAGGCUUUCACACCUGACUUGGGCAACCGCCUACACUCGCUUUACGCCCAGUAAUUCCGAACAACGCUAGCCCCCUUCGUCUUACCGCGGCUGCUGGCAC